GAAAAUAACUCAGCAACUCACAAAAUCCCUAAUCGCAUACCUUCCCUUUGUUAAAGAAGAGGUGUGAAUCUUACAACUUAUGAUGAUGGCUGGUGAUUGGUGCAUGGAAUUUCAUCCAUUGAGACUAAUCAACGUCGCAGGUGCACCAUGCUCCAUCUUUUCACGGAGACAGGUUGCUUCAUCCAGAGGUACUAAGCCAGAGCAAUCAAUUAUUUAAAUCAGGCCAUAUUUUAGUUCCUUUUACUGGGGAGAGGAAGAAGAAAGAAAAACACAUGGGGAGAGAGAGGAGGAAGAAAAAGGAAAAAAAAAUCCAACAAAAUUAUUUUUUUAUUUUUUAUUUUAACGAAAUAAAUAAUUAAAACAAUUUAUGUA